CGUGUAGGCGGACCUAGAAGUCGGGUGUGAAAGCCCCGGGCUCAACUCGGGAAGUGCGCUCGAAACCAUAGGUCUUGAGGUCCGGAGGGGAUCGGGGAAUUCCUGGUGUAGAGGUGAAAUUCGUAGAUAUCAGGAGGAACACCGGUGGCGAAGGCGCCGAUCUGGACGGAUUCUGACGCUGAGACGCGAAAGCGUGGGGAGCAAACA
rnacentral:rRNA from 1 species